rnacentral:lncRNA from 1 species
GUGCAAUCAGCGCCAGGUAACCUGCGGGGACCCGUAAUUGCUCUGGAUUUGCCUGCGACUUUGCAAGGUGGACAUGGAAUUGUAGUGCUGAUCAUCCCUCUGCACUGGACUGGAUUCUGCCAAAGUCAACGAAGUGGCUUCAGUUGCUGACUCUCUCGUCUCCAGGUAAUGCCUCAACUCCUUGGGAUUCUUUCUUGGAUGAGGUGGCGCAUAUGACCCAAGCCUUCAUUUCUGAGAGAACUGAGCUGUUGAUCCUGCCUAGAGACAUUCAUGAACUUUUACCACUGCAAAUGAUGCCACUAGGAAGUGUCCCAGUAGAGUCCCUGAAUUUAUUCCUUUCUCUUCUUGGCUCUUCUUUUGCAGCAGCAGCCCUCUAUUCCAUCUAUCACUACAAAAUAAUUUUUUGCAUGUUCUCCCAAGAGUGUGAGAAACCCAAAACAUCCAGGAGGCCAUUACAACUUCCAAUUCAGUGGAAUAAACUUUGUGUUUCCUCAUGGAAACAUACCUCCACUGAGAGGUAAUAUAGGAUAGUGGUUAAGACCAGGGACACUGAACUUAAACUGUGUUCAAAUUCUG